rnacentral:rRNA from 1 species
UAAAAAUUUAAUUUAAAAUAUUAAAGUAGUAUUAGUUAAGUUCUUGAAAUUUAAAAAAUUUGGCGGUAUUUUAGUCUAUUCAGAGGAACCUGUUUUGUAAUCGAUAGUCCACGUUGAACCUUACUUAAAUUAGUUUAUUAAUUUAUAUAUCGUUGUUUAUUGAAUAUUUUAUUAAAAUAAUAAUUUUCAAAAAUUUUUAUAAUAAAGUAUAUCAGAUCAAGAUGUAGUUUAUGUUUAAGUUUAUAAUGGGUUACAUUAAAAUUAUUUUUGGAAAUAUAUUUUAAAUAGUUUAUUGAAAUUGGAUUUGAUAGUAAAUUUAUAAAGAUUAAUAAUUUGAUUAUAGCUCUAAAAUAUG